rnacentral:lncRNA from 1 species
GCCCAAGUUGUAGGAAAAACUCCAAGUGGCAGGGUUAUACCUGGUUCUCUUCAUCCUGCGUCUUUCCUCCACCAGGUAACCCCAGAUCCCAUGAGGUGGCAGUGUCACCAUUGCCCCAGCCCAGAGUCAUUUCAAGGAGGAGCAGGUCACUUCCUGAUUCCCAAAGCAUCUGCCUGUACCAUUGAAAACUUAUUCCUGCUCAGCCCACACACUGAGGAAAGGCCAUAUGAGCACACAGGAAGAAGACUGCCAUCUGCAAAUCAGGAAGACAAUCAUCAUCAAGAACUUACCAUGCUGGCACCCCGAACUUGGGCUUCUGUUGUUUAAGCCACCCAGUCUGAUAUUUUCUUAUAGCAGCCCAAGCUGACUAAGACAGGCAGUCAAGAAUUAAAAUCUGCUUGGAGGAGCACCAACAUACCCAUUUUAAAAACCUUAUUAUGUGAAAUGGCUACAGUUAUUUAAACUCAAGAAGAACAUGGAACAAGAAAGAGAAAUAAAGUCAGUGAGAUGAAUGGACUAAAAUAACCUAGCAGUUAAUGGAAUAAAUAGGAAUGAAGCCCCUUUUCCAGUGUUAGGGUCAGCCUGGGAUUUAUCAAGGCUCUAAACAAAAGGAAUUGAUCAUGAGAGGUUAGCAGAGACAUACGGGAAGCACUGCGAGAGUAUUCAGCACUAGUUGGAGAUUUGAAUUCUAACUUUAAAAUUCUGAGACUUUUGAUCUAUUAAUUUAUCCAUUUUCAUUGUUCUUUUGCUUUGACUAUAAAGAAACAAAAUAAG